CACGUAGGGGGCAAGCGUUGUCCGGAUUUAUUGGGCGUAAAGAGCUCGUAGGUGGUUCGGUAAGUCGGGUGUUAAACCCCCAGGCUCAACCUGGGGACGCCACUCGAUACUGCUGUGACUAGAGUCCGGUAGGGGAGCGUGGAAUUCCUGGUGUAGCGGUGAAAUGCGCAGAUAUCAGGAGGAACACCAGCGGCGAAGGCGACGCUCUGGGCCGGUACUGACACUGAGGAGCGAAAGCGUGGGGAGCAAACAGG
rnacentral:rRNA from 1 species